UGGGGAAUAUUGGACAAUGGGCGAAAGCCUGAUCCAGCAAUACCGCGUGAGUGAUGAAGGUCUUCGGAUUGUAAAGCUCUUUUAGUAGGGAAGAUAAUGACGGUACCUACAGAAAAAGCACCGGCAAACUUCGUGCCAGCAGCCGCGGUAAUACGAAGGGUGCUAGCGUUGUUCGGAAUCAUUGGGCGUAAAGCGUACGUAGGCGGCUUGGUAAGUCAAUUGUGAAAGCCCUGAGCUCAACUCGGGAACUGCAAUCGAAACUGCCUUGCUUGAGUUUGGUGGGGGAUGAUGGAAUUCCUAGUGUAGGGGUGAAAUCCGUAGAGAUUAGGAGGAACACCGGUGGCGAAAGCGAUCAUCUACGCCAAUACUGACGCUAAGGUACGAAAGCGUGGGGAGCAAA
rnacentral:rRNA from 1 species